GUCGAUUUGGCGCAAUGGCUAGCGUAUACGCCUCCUAAGCGUAAGGUUGCGGGUUCGAGUCCCGUGAUCGAUG
rnacentral:tRNA from 1 species